AUGCUUUCAUGAAAUGCGUCACAUCACAAACAAAUCACAUCAAGGAUGGACUUGUCACCAAUAGUUCUCUACAUAGUCCAAUCGUGCCAGGGGCGUAGAAUGGGCCUCACUGGUCUUUCUCUUAACAUAACGUAACAUAGCAUAACAUUCCAUAGUGCCAGGGGCGUAGAAUGGGCCUCACUGAUCUUUCUCUUAACAUAGUGCCAGGGGCGUGGAAUGGGCCUCACUGGCUAUCCAUACCGUAUCAUCAUCAUACCAUAACAUACGAGGACUAAAGGGUCAUUCAACAUCCAUCCGCAUCAUCAUCAAAUUAUGCAAUGCAACAUAUUCGUGAAUUCUAAUGCAAACAACCUAGAAUAUCUCAUGGCAUACGUGAUGCAUGUAUCAUGCUCAAAAUUCAU
rnacentral:lncRNA from 1 species